CGCCGCGGUGCCCGCCCCUCAGGCCGGCGGCUCCGCUCGGGUCAGGGCUGUUCCUGACGCACUCCCGGCGCCGGAAGCCUCGGGCUCCCGAAUGAGGCUGUGGCCACUUGAAAGCCCCAGCGACGGAGCGGAGACGAGCCGCAGAGACCACCCACCACUUCCUGGGGCCGAGGGGCACCAGGCCAGGGCGGGAAGGAACUUGCCAGAAGGCACGUAGCGUUUGGAGCUCCGCCGGAGCUGCCGCUCGGGCGCUCCCGGACGUGUUAGCAGAGCUCAGGUUUGAGCAGAGCUCAUAGAAAUUUCAGGCUGGAAGGACCCUUCAGGAAUCUUUUGCUGCUAGCAUGCACUGCUCCAGACACUGCUCUGUGACAACCUGGGAUGCCUUCAGUUACUUUGAAGGUGUUAUCAAAUUCUCAAAACAGCGCUGGCCGGUUCGGUUCAGGGUGCGUGCUAGAGGCAACCAAUGACACAUUGAUGUUUUUCUCUCUGCCUCUCUCCCUCCCUUCCAUUCUCAAAAAUAAAAAAUCAGUGAAAGACUAUCGUUGAUGAGGAUUAAAAAAGAAAUAAUUCCAGUUCAUUUUAAUUAUGAAAAUAAAUACAUAUAUACCCAGAUUUUGAAGAAAGGGAGGGAGCCAAGGAAUGCAAACACCAAAGCACCAUUGAGUGUCACAGAGAUAGGGUAUAGGGAGAUUAGGAUUUAUAAGGAAGCCUGCAGGCAUCCCCUCUGCCCGUUGGGUCCCCCAGACCAGUCUUCGUCCUGUUCUUCAUCUGUACACCCCAAAUUGCUUCUUCCUAGAAUGCUCUUUUCCUAAGCCCAACCUCUCGUCUCAUGAUCAAUGAAAUUUACUUUAAAAAAAGAGAGAGAAGGAUCUUCAAUUAUUUACAUUUUGUUUCCAAACUAUUUCAGCUGUUUUUAUAAUACGUCCAACUGAAGUCAGAGAGGGAAAUAAUUCCAUUCCCCAAAAUACCAGACGACACCUUGGUGGGUUUUUUGGGGACAAUGCUCUAGUAUGACAUAAAAAGGUUACACAGUCA